UGGAGGAAAGCAGGGGAUCGUAAGACCUUGCGCUUUUGGAGCGGCCGAUGUCUGAUUAGCUAGUUGGUGGGGUAAUGGCCUACCAAAGCUUCGAUCAGUAGCUGGUCUGAGAGGACGGCCAGCCACACUGGGACUGAGACACGGCCCAGACUCCUACGGGAGGCAGCAGUGGGGAAUUUUGGACAAUGGGCGCAAGCCUGAUCCAGCCAUGCCGCGUGAGUGGAGAAGGCCUUCGGGUUGUAAAGCUCUUUCAGCCGGGAAGAAAAGGCUGCGACUAAUAAUCGCAGUUCAUGACGGUACCGGAAGAAGAAGCACCGGCUAACUACGUGCCAGCAGCCGCGGUAAUACGUAGGGUGCGAGCGUUAAUCGGAAUUACUGGGCGUAAAGGGUGCGCAGGCGGUUUUGUAAGUCAGAUGUGA
rnacentral:rRNA from 1 species